rnacentral:lncRNA from 1 species
AAAAAAUAUUAGACUGAUUAAAAUUUUCUGUAGUUUUUUCGUCCAAAAUUUAUAUUGUUUUGUCAUGAUUAGCUGUACCAUAUAUCUGAAACAAGGAGCCCUUCUUAUUAUUGCCUGUAUCUUGAGCAGUUUUCAAUGAUAUCCACAAUGGUUUACUAUUCUUUUGCUGUUAUCCACAAUGUUUUGCUAGCCUUUUGCUGUUUCAUUUAAAUAAUGUGAUAGAGCUGUGCAGUUGUGAAACUAUUUGUUGCUUUCAUCUCAAAAAAGAAAAAAAUAAAGAGGGAUCUCUUUUUCUCCUCCACUUAGUGUAUCAUUAAGUCAUUUUCUUCGGUCUUAUGUCACGGAUGUUAUAGUUUGCUAUCAUUACAUCCUUUCAUAAUUAUUUUUGUUCCGUUUACACCAGGACUCACCAGAUUCAGUGAGACUUAUCGUGGUUGCUGUUUCGGUAUUUGGGCCUCAGAAGAUUAUUCAAGGUCUUAUAUCUGCUGAUUUGGGGACUCGAGAAUUUUUUCAAUAUUUCAACGAGAGGAUUAUUCCCUCGUGCUUGAGAGAAGUUGGUCCUAAUGCAUCUCGGUUAGACCUCUUGCUGGCAUUACUUGAUGAAGAGUGCUUCUCAGAGCAGUGGAAUGCCAUCAUUAUGUAUUUAAUAAAUUCAGAACAAGUGGGUGUUACUCCUGGAACUGUGGACAACAACAAAAUAUCUAUCUUGGCUAUGUUGAUAGAGAAGGUUAGGGAGAGAACUAGAAAGCAUGCUCAUCUGGAAGGAUCCUGCUCAUACGAAUGGCAUCAUGAGCUUCUAGAUUCAGCUGCUCUCUCUAUCAUCCAUUCUUUUCCUCCAUUUAGGAAGUCUGAUGCUCACUUUUUAUGGUACGUAAAUAGUGAUAUCUUGAAAUAUUUGCAGGUCAUUUAUAACUAUUCAAUGCAUACUGCAUCUCAUUUCUCUAAAAUGGGAUUUGCUCUAUUUAAUCCCUUUGUAUGUUCUAUUGCUUUAUAUCUGUUGGCGUUUUAGUAAGUCAAUCUUUCUGAUUAUCAUGCAUGGUUUGGAGAAUUGUCCCUGCGACCUUCACUUCUUGGCAUGGUCUCUGACCUGUCAAUAUCUGUAGAAUUAUCAUGCCAUUUUGGAAUCGCACAGUAAUUUAAAAAGGUUUCCCUUUAGAUUGGAACACGAUAAGGUCCAUCUUGAAGUCUCUAAUCAUUAGUCAAUUUUAAAACUUGAACAUAUGAAGACUUUGGAGAAGGUUAUGUUACACAAGCUCCAUAUUAAAGCUCAACUCAAGCACCUUAGUUUCGUUUUAAAAUAGUGUCUUUACCCUUUCAGUAUUCUGUGGCUUCAAUUUCGUUCUGUUUGAUUUAUUUUUUUGAUAUAAAUUGACCGAUUCUUCAUUUUUCUUCUUUGGACUGGUAACUUGCUUCCCAUAGAACAGAAAUAUGAAUCCACGGAUCAAUUUGUUGUUAAUUUUUGGUGGUAAACUAUCCAAAUGCUUUAUUCAAUGGAGAUUAUCCAAGUGAUCUGUGCAUCUCUCUCAUUCAUCUCUAAAUACUCUAUCCUGUAAUUGAGCAUUUCAUUCUUCUAGUAGUGUGCAUAUAUUUUCUUGUGUGUAUGGGUAAAAAUCUUAUCUUCUUUCUUCGUUUCAUCUUAUGUGGCAGUGCUGUUCUUGGUGGUGGAGUAGAAGAUGAUAAAGUUUCCUUCUUAUCAAGAAACACAUCGGUUCUUAUAUAUGAAGAAAUAUUUAGAAUUCUGAUGACUUUCAUGCUGGAUUCUAGUUUCAUCUGGGUAAAGAAUAUAUGUUCUUUAUUAAGUAAGAGGGGAAAUUAUUCUUGCCGGGGAUUUGAAUCUUCUACUAAUGUGCUUGAGAUGGCUCAUUUUGCCCUGGAUAUUCUAAAUGGUAGUUUCUUUUGUCUGAAGACUAUGAAUGAUGAAACCGAGUUAGUUUCAGGUAUAUUAGCUGCAAUAUUUAUCAUUGACUGGGAAUUUAACGUGUUAAGUGUUACCAAGGAUGAGAACCAGAUGGGAGAAAUUGAGGCCAGAUUGACAUUCUGUCAGGCUAUCCAUAUUUUUCGUAGCAAGAUAUAUAAUCAGUUCUUUGAAAGUCUCAGCAUAAAUAAUCGAAACAGCCUGGGAACUGUUUUGGUUGAGUCAAUAAAAUGCAUUAUAUUUAUGGAAACUAAAUUAGAUUAUGAGAGAAUCAUAUCUUUAUGCUGCCAAUGGAUGGGUGACAUUUUUGAAUAUUUCUGUAAAGACCAAUUCGAGGAACAGCAGUUGUUGGAGCAAUUACUGACAAAGAAUGAUUGGUGGCCUUUGUGGAUCAUGCCAGAUAAUCGUUUAGGAUCCAGCUUCAAAGCUGAAAAUGGUCCUCUCUAUGUGAGUUUUACUAGUGUUAUUGUUAUUUUUUCUAGCAUUUUGUUUUGAUUUAUUUAUUUUUCGGGUGAGAAAGGGCUAAGAGACGUUUCUUAGCCUCUGUUUGUCUACCAUUAUUUCAAAGUUCUUUAUUUUUGAACUCAUUUUCAACCACACAUUUUCAUAAUAAAAUAUUUUACACGUAAACCCAAAAUUUCUUCUUAAUUUUGAACCACACAUUCUCCAAAAAUUCACUAUUCCAAAAAUUAUUUUCCUAUUUUAAUGGUAGACAAACAAAGGGCUUAAUUUGACUCCACUCAAUCAACACAUUGCAGUGGUCUUUUUUUGUCUGUCUGUACUUGCUUUGGCAAAUCCUUUAUAUGUUGCAGAACUUCUCUUUUCCUAUGUCAUUAUGUUUUCGAGCUUUAUUUUGGGAUAACUGAUUAUAUGCCAUCCUCAUCUAUGUCAAAAAAUGAAGCUUCCACUGAAAACUGAAAUCCUUGAGUCCUUGUGGGUGAUGUCUUGAGAUAUGCCCUUAAUUGGCUGACUGAUGAUCUGACACGAACAGUCUUGGGGCAUGAGAAUCACAUUCUUCUUUACCUUGAGUUCAUGCUGUGUACCCUAUCCGAUCUUUUAUUUAGCAACGUGAUCUCUCUUAAUCAAAUCAAAAUCAACCAUAAUAUUGCUGAUAUAUCUUAUUUAGCCCUUGUUUGAUCCCCAUUAUUUGGUAAAAAUACAUUUUUCAACAGUGUUUUGACAUCAUUUCCACCACACAUUUUCAAUAAAAUAAUAUUACAUACAAAUCUAAAACUUUUUUCUUAUUUUUUAACUACACAUUUCACAUCAAUUCACUAUUCAAAAAUUCAUUCUAUUCCCCAAAAUGGGGCUCAAACAAGGGCUUAGUAUAUUCACGGUGAAGUCUUCAACCAGAACUUGCUGUCUCAGUUUCUUCAUAACACAACUUCAAGUAAAUUAAGCACUCCCGAACAUGUAAUAAAGCUGUUUAUCGGUACUUGUAUAUAUUAUAUAACAUGGGUACAACUGACAGAAGCUAAGUUUUACCUAUACAAUUUAUUUGCAGGCAUCCAAAAACACCUUGUUUGUUGCUUUACUUGACAAACUAAUAUCCAGAAUUGGAUUUGCACGAGUUAUUGCUGCUGCUACCUCUCCAUCUUUAACUGGGGAGCCUAUUAGAGACCUACCAACAAAUAAUCUGUAUUCUUCUCGAGCCUGGCUUGCUGCUGAAAUUUUAUGUACAUGGAAAUGGCUUGGUGGUAGUGCUUUGCACUCUUUUCUGCCUUCUCUAAGUGAAUAUGUGAAGCAUUCUUGUGAAAACUGCCUUCUGGAUUCCAUCGUCAGCAUUCUGCUUGAUGGUGCUCUUGUCCAGGGAGCUGGUACUGGGUUAAGUCCCUUAUGGCCUGCUUCAUACGAUGAGGUACAGGGCAUUGAGGAACCCUUUUUGAGAGCUCUUGUAUCAUUAUUGUUGACUUUUUUUCAAGAUGAUAUAUGGGGGAAGGGCAAAGCUGUAUCGCUCUUUAAUGCACUUCUAGAUAAGCUCUACAUUGGUGAUACAACGAACUUGAAUUGCUUGAGGAUUCUUUCUUCUGUUAUGAGCAUACUUAUAAGACCCUUAAGCAUCAGAUUGGUAGACUCCAGUGUGAGUGACGAGUGUGAUUAUUACAGCCAAAGCAAAUUUCACGAAUCAGUAGUAGACUGGCUUGAGAGAACUGUAUCUUUCCCUCCAUUGAAUACAUGGCAAACUGGAGAAGGUAAAUGCAAGCUACAAUUAGUUUUCAUUCAUGUACUGGGCACUUAUAAUUAAAUUAUCCUCAUAAAUAUAUGAUUAUAUAGUAGUAGUCAUAAAGGGAAAUGAAUUGUAGUUUUCCACGGCUUUAUAUCUCGAAGCUAAGGCAUAUAUCUAUUUUUUGGGUAUCUAAUGGCAAAAAUCUCAUAAUGUGCCACCAUGGUGUUGAUGCAGUUCAUUCUUGUUAUCCGACAUUCUGGCUUUGCUAUAUUAACAAUUUGACUUUUUCUACCAGAUAUGGAGGAUUUCUUUCAGUUGGUUAUAUCUUGCUUCCCAAUUAAAGCAACAGAACAAUUGCAGGGGUUAAAACAAGAGAGAUAUAUCAGUCCUGUGGAGAAAGAACUUCUUUACAAGUUAUUUGAGAAGCAGAGACAGCAUGCUGGUGCAUCAGCUGUAGUAAACAAGCUGCCAUUGGUUCAGAGGUUGUUGUCACAGUUAGUGGUUGUUUCAGUUGCUUAUUGCUGGGAGGAAUUCAAUGAAGAUGAUUGGAAUUUUGUUCUAACUCGGUCAAGAUUUUGGAUUGAGUCAACUGUUGUUAUGAUCGAGGAAGUUGCUGAAAAUGUGAAUGAUGCUGUGUCAAACUGUUCUAGUUCCAAUGAUAUGACAGAUACUCUAAAGAAGCUCAAGAUUGCUGUUUCAACCAUAGACCCUUUUCCCAUAAAACUCGCAACAAAUGCACUUCUUGCCUUCUCUCUGUUUUGUGGCCUCAUGGGACUCCAAAAGAAAGAGUAUCCUGAAAAUUCAAACCCUUUGAGGAUUGAGAGGUGGGAGGUCAUCAAGGAUCGAAUUCUAGAAGGUAUUCUUCGUUUAUUUUUCAGUACUGGCGUUGCUGAGGCCAUUGCAAAUUCGUAUUGCCAAGAGGCUUCGUCUGUUGUUGCGUCAUCUCGCCUGGAUCAUCCUCACUUUUGGGAGUUAGUAGCUUCAAGAGCCAUCGAGUCUAGUUCACAUGCAAGAGACAAAGCUUUGAAAUCGAUAGAGAUUUGGGGUCUAAGUAAAGGGCCAAUAAGCUCUUUGUAUGCUUUACUCUUUUCUUGCAAACCACUUCCUCCUGUGCAGUUUGCGGCGUUUGUUAUUAUUUCAACCGAACCUGUGAUGCACUCAGCUUUUAAAUGUGAUGCUGCUAGUUUGGUGAAGGGUGAUACGUCUAACAACGAGGGUCCUCACAAUCCUGAUAUUUCUUCUGAAGGAAAUGUUCGUUUGAGGGAAGAAAUUUCUCACAUGCUUGAAAAGUUUCCAGAGGAGGUCUUUGAAAUGGAUUUAGUGGCAAAUGAGCGGGUAAGUAAUAUGUAACCGUGAGCAUUAACUUUCCGCCCUUUGCUCCUUUGUGAUGUCUUAAUGUUUUGGUUACUCUAGGAGUAGGUAACAUUGCAUAAGAGAGAUGUUGAUUGCUUAGUUAAAUUAUAUGUAACAUUACCUCAUAGGCUGUGUUGCCUCUGUUAAACUUACAGGUGAACAUAUUUCUUGCUUGGUCUUUGUUUCUGUCACAUCUAGGAUCCUUGCCAUCAACUUCGUCUGAAAGAGAAAGAAUGGUUCAAUAUGUGCAAGACUCUAUCAAUUCAGUAAUACUGGAUUGUCUUCUCCAACACAUUCAAUUGGAAUUGUACGUGGUGCCAGGCUCAAGAAGGAAAGAUGUAGAACUUCCAGCAACAGUAUCCGAAGCAGCCACAGCUGCAACACGUGCCAUCAGGGACAGAUCAGUAUUGUUUUGCAUAGAGUCACUUUGGCCUGUUGGAAUAGAGAAAAUGGCCUCACUUGCUGGUGGAAUAUUUGGUUUGAUGCUUCAUAUUCUUCCUGCCUAUGUUCGUGGAUGGUUUAGUGACAUACGAAAUCGUUCUACUUCAUCUUCUGUUGAAUCUUUCACGAAAGCAUGGUGUAGCCCAACACUUGUUACAAAUGAAUUAUCUCAGGUGUGUGUGACAUGAUUCCUGUUUGCUGUUGAUUACAGUUUAAUUCCAGUUGACUUGUUUUUUGACUCCGUAAAAAAAUCUGUAUGUCAUGGAAACAGCCUCUCUGCUUGCAAGGGUAAGCUUCAUGAAUAUAAUCCCCAUCAUCUCAUAGUGUCUUGAGCAUUCUGCAUUGGGUAUCCUCUCUCUAGAAAUAGCUAGAUUCCAAGCCUUCUAGAGAUAUUGUGAACCUUAAAUAUCAUGUAAGAUACGAGAUGUUUGUUUCAAUGCUUCAAUGUCCGUUAAGUUUAUAUUGCAAUAAGGAUACCUGAUGUGAUCACAGCAUAAAACUGAAGCUUAUUUUUCUCUAUGCAGAUCAAGAAAGCCAGUUUUGCUGAUGAAAAUUUUUCAAUUAGUGUGAGAAAAUCAGCUAAUGAGGUUGUGGCCACCUAUUCGAAGGAUGAAACGGGAAUAGAUCUAGUAAUUCGUCUUCCUCCAUCUUACCCUCUGAGACCUGUAGAUGUAGAUUGUACCAGGAGCCUUGGAAUUAGCGAGUUGAAGCAGAGAAAGUGGUUGAUGUCAAUGAAGUCGUUUGUUUGUAAUCAGGUAUAACCGACAAACUCUUGCUGCUCGGGUGCUACUUUAUGCACAGUGUUUGCCCACUGUAAGACUAAUGCAAUUCAAGAAUUUAUGAUCAAUUGGUUAUGUUUUACUCUUGUUGUAUGUGGGCAUCACAGAUCAACUUUGAUAUUUGUUGAUUUAUCUGGUUCUUGUCCUCCAUCCCUGAUUGAUCAUCUGAGAUUCCCAUUCCCCCACCCACCAUACGGUCUAUAUCAAAUUUUCUAUUGUACCCCUCAUUAAAUUAAAGUGAAUUGAGGUUUUACGACAUAGAUGUGAAGUCCAUAGACCCCCAUUAAGUGGGUUUGUUCUUGAAAAAUGAUAUAAAAUCUUUUUGAAGUAAACGAUGGUGUUGUAUUGUCGAACCACCAUAUAAUAGGGGGUUAAAAAGCCAAAAUAAGUGAUUUUCAGCCCUUAAAAAGAAAUAGAUUCUUGAUCUAAAGCUUAAGCUAUUAGAGAAGGCUAUUGUAUAUCAUUUAAAGUCUUUAACAUGUACCCUCAUGUAUGGUGGGCUCAUUUUUUCCGUCAAAGCUUGAAACAUGCACAAUUUCAAUAAAUGGGUGGUAGUCAGAAUUAAUUCAGGACCUUUGCAUGCCAUAGUAACGUAUAUGACUUCAAUUUUCAUCUUAAAAGGUCGACUUGGUUACGAGUAGUUUAAUCUCUUAUAUGUUUGGGUAGUGUUUCAUAUCUAAUCAAUGUGGGAUUUACACCUGACAUGCCAGCUCAAGAUAGUUGCUCAUUGGAUAACACCAAUCCUGGAAUCUGAUUGCUUGUUUGAGCUUUAAAGGGAUUGAAUUAUUUCUUUGAACUUUUUUUUUUUUUUUUUGUUCUAAUACCAUUUUGAACAACUUUAUCUAAAUGCUUAAUCUUUUUAGAGUGGACCACUUGUAUAUCAUUUAAAAAUAGUAUUCAAUUUGUAUUAAUCUGCGGGAAAAUUGCAAGUGCAAGAUCUUUUUGGUGGUGGAGUAUGUGUUGAACAUGUCUGAUUUCGUUUUUUUUAUUCACACCCAUGAAAAUUUUGAACUGACUGCAAACAUUGAUUAGUAAUGAACUUCAUGGUCCUCCAAUAUGCCAAGAAAUAUUCAGCAUUGUUUCCAUGUUUUUUACUUUGAACAUUUCUGUUUUGAAAUCUGGAGGUUGAUGAUGUGUGUGAAUGGUACAGAAUGGAGCCUUAGCUGAAGCAAUACGGAUAUGGAAGAGCAAUUUUGACAAGGAAUUUGAAGGUGUUGAAGAGUGCCCUAUCUGUUAUAGUGUCAUCCACACUGCCAACCAUAGCUUGCCUCGCCUUGCUUGCAAGACCUGCAAGCAUAAAUUCCAUUCUGCCUGCCUCUACAAGUGGUUUUCAACUUCUCACAAAUCAACCUGUCCCCUGUGCCAAUCUCCCUUUUGAUCCCAGAAAAUGAAGUCAUCACAUUUAUUCACUGCGCUGCAGUUUUUAAGUGUAAUCUCAGGUGCUUUAUAUUUAUUGACUGCGGACUCAAUUUGAAGAAUGCAAAGGGCACUAAUUUCAAGCAUCCAAACUUUAAAGUGCUUAAAACCGCAGCCCCNNNNNNNNNNNNNNNNCCCCCCCCCCCCAUCUCUCUCCCCAUCUCUGUGACCACGAGUUGCAUCAUACCAUCUGGGAUGACGUUCUUGAUUAAAAUUGCCUGAGCUUGCUUUGAGGAGACUUGUUGAGCUCUAGGAACUCCUGGAGUCCGUUUUGUGUGACAUGUUGAUAUGGUGAGUCUGCUCUUUUCAUUAUAUUGUGCUUGAGUUGUCCAAUUUAGACAUGUUUAGUUAGAAAAAAACAUCAAAUCCAAGAAAGACACAUUAAAAAUUUUCCUGUGAGAAUUUAUGCAUAUUUUGAUCUUAUUUUAUUGCUGUAUUUUUUUAAAAAGAAAUCACAUUAUUUUUUUCCUGUUUCUGUAUUCUUUCCCCAUUUGUAACUGUCAUUAUGGUGGUCAAUGUGUGUGGUGGACUCAAAAUGCACACAAAUUGGCAUCAACUCUGUUUUCACGAGAGACCACGUGCCAUUGUUCUAUUGAACUGGGGGUUUGGGAGUUGGGUGGCAUAGUUUGAUUGGGGAACAAGAUUCUUUCAAUCCUAUAUUCAAAGAUGAUUGCUUGCUUUGCAACCAGAGCUGGGAACAUUCAUUUGAGUGUAACUUCUGCUUGUGGAAUCUAUUGUUAAACAAGGGCAUUUUGUGAUUUGGCACUUGUGCUUGGGUCUUUAAAAUUGAGGGAGGACAUCUUCCACCAGUGCAUUCUCCUAAAUUCUGUGAAGCACUGCUAGGUCUUAGUAUUCACUCUUACAUCACUGAUCCAACAGCUGGACUUGGAUGUCAGAAGUGCAUGGGAACUGGGCCUUAGAAUACCCUAUAGGCUAAUGCCUCUUAUCCCCGGGGCCACAUAGGCGGAUGGACACGUCCCCCCCUGGAAAUCCCGGGCUAGCAAAACUCUACCCUAUAUAACAUGGGUCCAAUAGCUGCUAAAAUUGAUUUCGACAUUUGAUUAAAUGAAAAGAUAAAAGAGGAUUGACUAACUGUUGUUCUAUUGGAUGACGGUGGGAACUUGGAAAGUUAUUCCCCUGUUUUUUUCCCAUACCGUCUUUAUCCAUCCUCGUAUUUUUUUGUGUCGAAUUUUGUUUCUGGAACCCGGGCCACCGUGGGAGGAGUUUGGUUCUGCUGGUUUUGCAUUUGUAGUGGUAAUUCAAUGACUUGCGUACGAAUCAACCAAGUUUCUUGAUUAGGCAUGUGUACCACCACGGUUGGCAGUUUCUAGCUGUCCUUUUAUGUAACAUCCAAAUAACCAUAUAAAGUGAAAAUAAAUUGAUGAUGCCAUUUUAUGCAAUAGAAAUUCACCUUUUUGCAUGUUGUACAUAUUUUUUCUAUUAAUAAUAAAUUUGAUUUUCUUGUUCAUUGCAGACGUAGAUGUUAAGACUUGGGGAUUGCAUCUUAAAAUAUCAACUUUUUUAACAGUAGUCCAAGAUCUUAUAAGUUGAUCUAUAUUUUUAUCUUUAAUCGAUGUGAGAUUUUAUUCCUUAACAUAACCCCUCAAAAUGGUGACCAAUCUUGAAAUUCGUAUGCUCAUUUAUUGAGUUUUAAUCGGAUUGAAUCGUUUGUUGGAGUUUAAUGAGUUUUAAUACCAUAUAAAGAUCUGGGGUUCCAUCUUAAAAUGUCAACAUUGUUAAAGUAAUUGCCUAAGACCUUAUAACUUCAUCUAUGUUUCAUCUUUAAUCGAUGUGGGAGUUUAUCCCUUAACAAGAGAGAUUUUAAAUCCUUAUGAUUGUGGUGUUGAAAUGUAGGUCUUGUUCUUGGAAUUCAGGCCAGAGAUUUAUGCAUUGAUGGAUGUGGUGACAAGGAUACUUGUAUUCAUAGGUAACAAUUUCUCCCAUACGAAUAUCGCUUGCAUUUGGGAUCCUCCACUUAAGUCCCAGGAGUACAUGUGGGAACCAGAAGACAAUCAGAAGAUUCGACGAAGAUAUUAAGGAUGCUCCUCUCUGCCAAUAGUUUUAAAAUAUCUAACGUGAGAACACAAGAAUGCGUGUAUAAAUACAUCCAAUAUGCAUUCAGAAUUUUUAAGUGUAGGGGUAUUCUUUUUUUGUUUUUUUAUUGUUUUUGCAUGCAUGUAUUACAGGGAAAUUAGCCAGGUGAAUGUUAAUGAGUUUUGACAAGAUUUUGAUGAUUAUGUUGCUGCUCCCGAGGUUUCUUGUCACUGUUUUCUGGUUUUUCUUUAUGGGUAGUACUGUAGUAGCUUACAGUCAAAGGCACGUGAAAGAGGAGAAAAAGUUUUCUGCUUGUUUUGAAUUUCUUCUUAGAAUUGUUUUCUGCAUUUUAAGAUGAUGAAUGUCAAAAUUAGAGGUUCAAAAGUAGGU